GUUUUUUUGGCAGCUUCCUGAGAUAUGUGAUUUAAUUUCGCUUGGCGAGGAGAAGAGAAGAGAAAUAGGCAUAUCUACGGGAAAAUUCUGAGAUACAUGUAUCUGGAGAAGGUUUCAGUAGCAGAUUUUUGGACCUCGACAGUGCCGGCCGGAUGGACCUGCUGGUGUUUGAUAAUUUGGUUCUUAGCAGAUUUUCUAUGCUUAUUAUAUCUAAAGCCUAAAGGUGCCCAUGGCAUAGGUUUGUCAUGCUGGGACUUUCAUACCUUUGUGUAUACGGCGAAGCUAGCCACUCAAGCCCGCUCAAGGAACAUAGCCA